rnacentral:rRNA from 1 species
AUUGAACGCUGGCGGCAGGCCUAACACAUGCAAGUCGAGCGGAAACGAGUUAACUGAACCUUCGGGGAACGUUAAGGGCGGCGAGCGGCGGACGGGUGAGUAAUGCCUGGGAAUAUGCCCUGAUGUGGGGGAUAACUAUUGGAAACGAUAGCUAAUACCGCAUAAUCUCUUCGGAGCAAAGAGGGGGACCUUCGGGCCUCUCGCGUCAGGAUUAGCCCAGGUGGGAUUAGCUUGUUGGUGAGGUAAUGGCUCACCAAGGCAACGAUCCCUAGCUGGUCUGAGAGGAUGAUCAGCCACACUGGAACUGAGACACGGUCCAGACUCCUACGGGAGGCAGCAGUGGGGAAUAUUGCACAAUGGGGAACCUGAUGCAGCCAUGCCGCGUGUGUGAAGAAGGCCUUGGGUUGUAAGCACUUUCAGUCGUGAGGA